rnacentral:rRNA from 1 species
CCUACGGGAGGCAGCAGUAGGGAAUAUUGCACAAUGGAGGCAACCCUGAUGCAGCGACGCCGCGUGAGUGAAGAAGUAUUUCGGUAUGUAAAGCUCUAUCAGCAGGGAAGAAAAUGACGGUACCUGACUAAGAAACCCCGGCUAACUACGUGCCAGCAGCCGCGGUAAUACGUAGGGGGCAAGCGUUAUCCGGAUUUACUGGGUAUAAAGGGAGCGUAGACGGCAGCACAAGUCUGAAGUGAAAUGCCGGGGCUUAACCCCGGAACUGCUUUGGAAACUGUUCAGCUAGAGUGCAGGAGAGGUAAGUGGAAUUCCUAGUGUAGCGGUGAAAUGCGUAGAUAUUAGGAGGAACACCAGUGGCGAAGGCGGCUUACUGGACUGUAACUGACGUUGAGGCUCGAAAGCGUGGGGAGCAAACAGGAUUAGAUACCCCGGUAGUC